rnacentral:rRNA from 1 species
GACGAACGCUGGCGGCGUGCUUAACACAUGCAAGUCGAACGGUGAAGCGCCUUCCUUUUUGGUGGGUGUGGAUGAGUGGCGAACGGGUGAGUAACACGUGAGUAACCUGCCCCCUUCUUCUGGAUAACCGCAUGAAAGUGUGGCUAAUACGGGAUAUUCUGGGUCUGUCGCAUGAUGGGUCUGGGAAAGAUAUUGUUUCGGUGGGGGAGGGGCUCGCGGCCUAUCAGCUUGUUGGUGGGGUGAUGGCCUACCAAGGCGGUGACGGGUAGCCGGCCUGAGAGGGUGGACGGUCACACUGGGACUGAGGCACGGCCCAGACUCCUACGGGAGGCAGCAGUGGGGAAUAUUGCACAAUGGGCGCAAGCCUGAUGCAGCGACGCCGCGUGAGGGAUGGAGGCCUUCGGGUUGUGAACCUCUUUCGCCAGUGAAGCAGGCCUGCCUCGUUUGUGGGUGGGUUGACGGUAGCUGGAUAAGAAGCGCCGGCUAACUACGUG